AACCAGCACCUCAAGUGGUCAGGAUGAUUAUUGGGCCUAAAGCAUCCGUAGCCGGCCUUGUAAGUUUUCGGUUAAAUCCAUUCGCUUAACGAAUGGGCUGCCGGGAAUACUGCAAGGCUAGGGAGUGGGAGAGGUAGACGGUACUCGGUAGGAAGGGGUAAAAUCCUUUGAUCUAUUGAUGACCACCUGUGGCGAAGGCGGUCUACCAGAACAUGUCCGACGGUGAGGGAUGAAAGCUGGGGGAGCAAACCGGAUUAGAUACCCGGGUAGUCCCAGCUGUAAACUAUGCAAACUCAGUGAUGCAUUGGCUUGAUGCCAAUGCAGUGCUGCAGGGAAGCCGUUAAGUUUGCCGCCUGGGAAGUACGUACGCAAGUAUGAAACUUAAAGGAAUUGGCGGGGGAGCACCACAAGGGGUGAAGCCUGCGGUUCAAUUGGAGUCAACGCCAGAAAUCUUACCCGGAGAGACAGCAGAAUGAAGGUCAAGCUGAAGACUUUACCAGACAAGCUGAGAGGUGGUGCAUGGCCGUCGCCAGCUCGUGCCGUGAGAUGUCCUGUUAAGUCAGGUAACGAGCGAGAUCCCUGCCUCUAGUUGCCACCACUGCUCUCAGGAGUAGUGGGGAGAAUUAGCGGGACCGCCGUAGUUAAUACGGAGGAAGGAAGGGGCCACGGCAGGUCAGUAUGCCCCGAAACUCUGGGGCCACACGCGGGCUGCAAUGGUAAUGACAAUGUGUUCCAAAUCCGAAAGGAGGAGGUAAUCCUCAAACGUUACCACAGUUAUGACUGAGGGCUGCAACUCGCCCUCACGAAUAUGGAAUCCCUAGUAACUGCGUGUCACUAUCGCGCAGUGAAUACGUCCCUGCUCCU
rnacentral:rRNA from 1 species